rnacentral:rRNA from 1 species
AAGUAGGGGAUCGUAAGACCUUGCGCUUUUGGAGCGGCCGAUGCCUGAUUAGCUAGUUGGUGGGGUAAGGGCCUACCAAGGCGACGAUCAGUAGUUGGUCUGAGAGGACGACCAGCCACACUGGGACUGAGACACGGCCCAGACUCCUACGGGAGGCAGCAGUGGGGAAUUUUGGACAAUGGGCGAAAGCCUGAUCCAGCAAUGCCGCGUGAGUGAAGAAGGCCUUCGGGUUGUAAAGCUCUUUCAGUCGAGAAGAAAAGGUUGCGACUAAUAAUCGCAACUUAUGACGGUAUCGACAGAAGAAGCACCGGCUAACUACGUGCCAGCAGCCGCGGUAAUACGUAGGGUGCGAGCGUUAAUCGGAAUUACUGGGCGUAAAGGGUGCGCAGGCGGCUCUGUAAGUCAGAUGUGAAAUCCCCGGGCUUAACCUGGGAAUUGCGUUUGAAACUACAAGGCUAGAGU